ACCAAAUACUUCGAGUUUUCUUUGAAACUUAAGAGCUUACUGAUUAUAGGAACUAAAUAAUAAUUACUGCCUUUGAUUUUAAGACCAUAAUCCAGGACUGGAAAAUGGAUUUGUCACUGUUGCUGCACACCAGUGAAUUCACUUGCUUCGUUUCCAAUGUAACAACACGACCAUCUCACUGUGGUGUAAUUAAUCCAUGAAAAGCUGUUGCAACAUGAAUGACACUCAAAAUCAGCACGCACAAAUAUUGUCAUUAAGUUUAUUUGGAAAAAUAAAUGGCCUAUGAUUUCA